UUAAGUUGUUGCGGUUAAAAGCUCGUAGUUGGGUUUCUGUCGGUGAGCGAAGGUCCGCCCUAGUGGUUGGUACACUUCGCGCCGCCGACAUCUUCCUGGGGAAUGUGUCUGCACUUCACUGUGUGGCGCGGGAACCAGGACGUUUACUUUGAGGAAAUUACAGUGCUUCAAGCAGGCUCACGCUCUCUGAAUACGUUAGCAUGGAAUAAUAGCAUCGGACCUCGAUCCAAAGCUGUUGGUUUCUUGGAUCUGGGUAAAGGUGAAUAGGGAUUGUUGGGGGCAUUCGUAUUUAACUGUCAGAGGUGAAAUUCUUGGAUUUGUUGAAGACGGACUACUGCGAAAGCAUCUGCCAAAGAUGUUCUCAUUGAUCAAGAACGAAAGUUAGGGGAUCGAGGACGAUCAGAUACCGUCCUAGUCUUAACCAUAAACUAUGCCGACUGGAGAUCGGUGGCUGCUAUCAUUAUGGCACCAUCUGCAUCUUGAGAGAAAUCAAAGUCUUUGGGUUCCGGGGGGAGUAUGGUCGCAAGGCUGAAACUUAAAGGAAUUGACGGAAGGGCACCACCAGGAGUGGAGCCUGCGGCUUAAUUUGACUCAACA
rnacentral:rRNA from 1 species